UUUUCUUUCUACUCUCUCUAUAGAUACCGCCCUUUUAUUUCCAAAUUUCCUUUUUAUAUUAUUAUGGCAAUAAUAAUAAUACUCUGCCCCGUUUUAAGUGUUUUAACCCUUGAUCACUGAUACCCUGUCCGACUGACGUAGGGCCCCGUAACGUAUGUCAAGGUUCUUCCUAAAUUCGUUGGGGUUCUGUCUCGUGACGUAGGGAUAAAGUGGAAUUGGAUUACUAUACUUAAUGUGAAUGCACUAUAUAUUUUAUUAAAUAACCCAGGAGUGAUACCCAAGGUCAAGAUCAAGAUCAGCACCUAUAUAUAGAAGCCAUCGGAUCUUCAGUCGAACUCGCUCACAACUAUUUUCUUUCUCUCAAUUCUGAAUAGUAGGCUUUAUACCCGGGUAUUAUACCCCCCUAAUUAGCGAAGCUCUGCCUUGUUGUAAGUAUCAUAACCCCUGGAUACGUAUUAGAUACUCCGCCCGAUUGAUCUAGGGUUCCGUAACGGCUGUCGUGGUUCUGCCCGACGUAGUCGUUGGAAUGCCGUCUGGGGGAGGAUUAUAACCAGGGAAUCACAAAGGACAGACCUAUAAUAGCAAUGCAUGAGAUUGUUAGAUUCAUGAAGGAAUGAAACCUGGUUUGGAUAAAGAGUAUUUAAGAAAGCGCUUGGACAAUUCCACGUUUACUUCAUAGAAUGCUUUACAAAUUUCUAUUAUACGGUUUAAUGUUGUAUGGUGUGUUAAUGACUAUUGGUUGGGUUGUACGUGGUGUCCACAAGUAUCGCUCGGGUUUCCUCUACCACUAGCGAAGUGAAGCAGACAUAGAUCGAGUUGAGAGCAAGGAUUGUACGGAAAAGAAAGGUCACAUAGUUUGUUUUAAAUUGGUCAUGAACCCUUGAUAUAAUGUAACAUUGUGAAUCCUCUCUAAUGAACGUAUUACAUUUUGUAAUUGAGUUUUCAUGUAAUUAAUAUGACUUUUUAAGAAUGAAAUUUUUGG
rnacentral:lncRNA from 1 species